rnacentral:tRNA from 1 species
GGAGAGGUGGCCGAGUGGUCGAAGGCGCACGCCUGGAAAGUGUGUAGGCGGUGAUCCCGUCUCCGGGGUUCGAAUCCCCGUCUCUCCGCCA